GCCAUCAGUAGCGCAACGGGUCAGAGCACGCGUUCCCCAGAAAGAGUGAGACGUGGGUUCGAGUCCCGCCUGACGCA